AGCAUCAGGUUUCUGGUGCACACGAGAAAAGCAUCAGGUUUCUGGUGCACACGAGAAAAGCAUCAGGUUCCUGGUGCCCACGAGAAAAGCAUCAGCUUUCUGGUGCACACGUAUCUGGUGCCCACGAGAAAAGCAUCAGGUUUCUGGUGCACACGAGAAAAGCAUCAGGUUUCUGGUGCACACGAGAAAAGCAUCAGGUUUCUGGUGCACAUGUAUCUGGUGCCCAUGAGAAAAGCAUCAGGUUUCUGGUGCACACGAGAAAAGCAUCAGGUUCCUGGUGCCCACGAGAAAAGCAUCAGCUUUCUGGUGCACACGUAUCUGGUGCCCACGAGAACAGCAUCAGGUUUCUGGUGCACACGAGAAAAGCAUCAGGUUUCUGGUGCACAUGUAUCUGGUGCCCACGAGAAAAGCAUCAGCUUUCUGGUGCACACGUAUCUGGUGCCCACGAGAAAAGCAUCAGGUUUCUGGUGCACACGAGAAAAGCAUCAGGUUCCUGGUGCCCACGAGAAAAGCAUCAGCUUUCUGGUGCACACGUAUCUGGUGCCCACGAGAAAAGCAUCAGGUUUCUGGUGCACAAGAGAAAAGCAUCAGGUUUCUGGUGCACAC